GACGAACGCUGGCGGCGUGCUUAACACAUGCAAGUCGAACGGAAAGGCCCUGCUUUUGUGGGGUGCUCGAGUGGCGAACGGGUGAGUAACACGUGAGUAACCUGCCCUUGACUUUGGGAUAACUUCAGGAAACUGGGGCUAAUACCGGAUAGGAGCUCCUGCUGCAUGGUGGGGGUUGGAAAGUUUCGGCGGUUGGGGAUGGAUGCGCGGCUUAUCAGCUUGUUGGUGGGGUAGUGGCUUACCAAGGCUUUGACGGGUAGCCGGCCUGAGAGGGUGACCGGCCACAUUGGGACUGAGAUACGGCGCAGACUCCUACGGGAGGCAGCAGUGGGGAAUAUUGCACAAUGGGCGGAAGCCUGAUGCAGCAACGCCGCGUGCGGGAUGACGGCCUUCGGGGUGUAAACCGCUUUCGCCUGUGACGAAGCGUGAGUGACGGUAAUGGGUAAAGAAGCACCGGCUAACUACGUG
rnacentral:rRNA from 1 species